UGCUAGUGUUUAUAUACCUAAAUUACCUAAAAUUAUUUUUUAUAAAUACUAGGAUAAAAAAGGUUACAGCUACAACUAGGAACUAAGAAGAAAUUAUCUACAUCUAUCGCUUAUUAUACUACGCUAAACCUACAAUUUACCACAUCGGGCAAAUUAGGAAUAUUGACAUAACCUUGAAUUAUUAUGUGGAAGA